CAGCGGACUGCUCGAGCU
rnacentral:snRNA from 1 species